UUAACUCAAAUUUGUAUGGAGUUGGAACGUUUGCUUACGUUUGCCGCCAGAGGCGCUGUUCCAACUCCAUACAUAUUUUAGUUA
rnacentral:pre_miRNA from 1 species